CCUACGGGAGGCAGCAGUGGGGAAUAUUGCACAAUGGGGGAAACCCUGAUGCAGCGACGCCGCGUGAGUGAAGAAGUAUUUCGGUAUGUAAAGCUCUAUCAGCAGGGAAGAAAAUGACGGUACCUGAUUAAGAAGCACCGGCUAACUACGUGCCAGCAGCCGCGGCAAUACGUAGGGGGCAAGCGGUAUCCGGAUUUACUGGGUGGAAAGGGAGGGUAGACGGCAGCACAAGUCUGGAGUGAAAUGCCGGGGCUUAACCCCGGAACUGCUUUGGAAACUGUGCAGCUAGAGUGCAGGAGAGGUAAGUGGAAUUCCUAGUGUAGCGGUGAAAUGCGUAGAUAUUAGGAGGAACACCAGUGGCGAAGGCGGCUUGCUGGACUGUAACUGACGUUGAGGCUCGAAAGCGUGGGGAGCAAACAGGAUUAGAUACCCUAGUAGUC
rnacentral:rRNA from 1 species